GCGCCAGUGGUUUAGUGGUAAAAUCUACUGUUGCCAUCGAUGGGCCCCGCGUUCGAUUCGCGGCUGACGCA
rnacentral:tRNA from 1 species